rnacentral:rRNA from 1 species
GACGAACGCUGGCGGCGUGCUUAACACAUGCAAGUCGAACGGAAAGGCCCUGCUUUUGUGGGGUGCUCGAGUGGCGAACGGGUGAGUAACACGUGAGUAACCUGCCCUUGACUUUGGGAUAACUUCAGGAAACUGGGGCUAAUACCGGAUAGGAGCUCCUGCUGCAUGGUGGGGGUUGGAAAGUUUCGGCGGUUGGGGAUGGACUCGCGGCUUAUCGGCUUGUUGGUGGGGUAGUGGCUUACCAAGGCUUUGACGGGUAGCCGGCCUGAGAGGGUGACCGGCCACAUUGGGACUGAGAUACGGCCCAGACUCCUACGGGAGGAAGCAGUGGGGAAUAUUGCACAAUGGGCGGAAGCCUGAUGCAGCAACGCCGCGUGCGGGAUGACGGCCUUCGGGUUGUAAACCGCUUUCGCCUGUGACGAAGCGUGAGUGACGGUAAUGGGUAAAGAAGCACCGGCUAACUACGUG